GCCAGAUGACGUCAAAGUAUCGCGAGAGCGAGACGAAAUUUGAUUUCUUGAAUCCUUCUCGCGGUACUCUGACGUCAUCCGGCUGUCAGUCUUGCGGCGCCGCAUGAAGUCAAAGAAGCCUCCUGACUGCGUGCGAGAACAUUUUGAAUUAUCUGGCACGAGGCAUCACACGUCAAACUUCAACUGACACAACGGUCUCGGUGAAGGGAAUAAGCAAAAGCUCCUUUAAAUUUCGUCAUUUUUUAUACACAUCCCGUUUAUUUUGUAGUUAAUUGUUAGAUAAGUAAUUUCGUCAAGUUUUCGUUACAGAGUAAGAUUUCGUUAUCAUCGUUACCAUAUACAGUAUUUAUAUUGGUUCAAGAGCGCAGUUUGAUAACUCAUUCAAGCCUUUAAACAUCUAAACAUGUCCUCCAAAAAGGUAAGUUCAGCAGAUCAGCUUAUCUUAUUCUGUAAUAUUGAUACUGGUUUGAGAAAAACUAAGAUUAAACAACGUACAUGUUUCCAGGAAAAAGGGAAAAACACUGGAAAACAAUUUCAGCCUCAGGUUUGAGAUGGCUAACUGUGUACAUUGCCUUUGUGUACUGCAAGCUGAACUUACAGAUUUAUAUGGACUUUACUUACAGGUUUCCUGUGCUGUUUUGCUCCAUUUUACAGAACAAAAUAAGGCUGAGGUAGCACCAUCCUUGUGGUUAGAGUGAAAGAAUGUGGGUAUUGAGACCAAAAUAAAUAAUGUGCCAUUCUGGACAAACAGCUGUGGACAAUAUAAGCAGUCAGAGUAGCCCAUUUUCUCACACAGAUGAGGAGCAACCAGUAAGAAAAAGCAAAAAGAUGUUUUGAUGUUGCCUGAGGCACCUUAUUCACAUCAGUCAAUUUCUUCCAAUAAUGAAUCAAGAAAUCCUGGAGUGGAGAAUCAUUCUGAAAGUAGACCAAAUACAGGACAACACCACAGCAGUGGUUGGAAAAAUGCAGCAGACAAUGAGCAAAUCAAGCUGACUUUCAAAAGAUGAUUCGUUAUCUGUUUCUUCAAAGGGGAGGCAGUUUGGGAGAUGGGAAAUAGGAGGAUGCUACAGCUACACAGGGCGAAUUUCAGCAGCUCAGUUUCACACUUGCAACUAACAAUGAAUUAUAGUGAGUCUGUG